rnacentral:lncRNA from 1 species
GGCGCCUCACCAGACUUCAGUCGAGGUGCUGCAUAAAAGCGAUUAACAAGCGCACACCUGGGUUAAGGCACAAGGCCUUUAGCAUGUGCAUCUUUCAAGCCAAAAAAGGGGGGUUUGGGGGGGGAUUAGGAUCCAGGAAAGGAAAAGGAAAUCUUCUGCAGGAGCAAAAGAGACAAACUCAUGAGACUUGAGAAGACAAUAGAGAACAAACAACUUGAGAAGAUCAUCAACGAUCUCAAACGGAAGAAGUGCAGGAAAGAGAGAUCUUCACAGAAUUCUUCUUUCUUCUAAUUCCUUUCUUUAUUUUUUUCUUUUGGUAAACAUUAGACUGCCUGCAUCUUUUUUUUCCUCUAUUUCUUUUCUUUUCUCUAUUGGGGAAAAUAGAGAAUCAAGUUCUGCUGCUAAGCCUCCAUUUCUUGUUUUCUUCUUCUCCUAGUGCGCUUCUUCUUUCUAUGGCCUGUGGAAGCCUCUGUCAUUUUUUUUUUCUUUUCGGGAAAGAGAUAACUAUUUAUAGUUAAGAGACAUAAAGUGAUUUGUCUUUUGAUGAUAAUCAGAAAACUCAAAAAACUUAAUUAAUAUACACCAAGAUGGUGUUAGGUUUAUUAUAAAAACAUUAAAUAGAAGGAUGCAUAAGCUCCCCAAGAACCAAGCUAAUCGUCUAUACAGUAAGGAACUUCCUGUUUAGACCAAAAGAGCACUAGGAAAAACAGAGGAUUAUAAUUUAACAAUGAAUGUCCAGUUCCCUCAAACGUUAUCAUACUCCUCUCUCUCUGCAUUUCUAGAAAUUUAUUGCACGGAGCGGUUCUCCAUAACUUUCUCCUAUCACAUUUAGCUUAUCCAAUCUCCAACUCACCAGUACUCUUUUCUCGAGAAAAAAACAAUGGAUGUUGAAAAUGAAGAACAUCAUGGCUCAUAGUUUUGUUGCAGACUUACAAUAGGUGAUCCACGCGUUCAUCAUGAUUUUUACACGUGAACACCAAUUGACCACUAUGCAUCUCCUUCUUCUUGGGUUGUUAAAAUUGGCUUUGAACUCAAGUAAGGUCGUUGAGUUGUUAAAAUUGCUCUCGACAUUGCAUACCAUGUAAAAAGUACCUCUUAGGUACCUCCAUUUUCCAUGUUGUUGACCAAAUGGAUAUUGUACACCUUCAUCAAGUAAGAAGUUAUAGAUGUCGUCAUGUCGUUACUUAAAAACAUUUUCAUUAGGAGCUAAAUUUGGAUUAGUAUAUAAAAGAUUUGGACUAGAGCAAGAAACUAGGUUAAAAUAAGUAUUAGGUUAGAGUGGAAUGAGAAUUUGAGAGUGAGCAGAGAAGUAGGAUUCCAAUCCUAAACCUAAACCUAAUAUAGGAGCAAGUGAAGAAUUAGGAUCCCAAUUUAACCCAAACCAUAGACGUAGUCCUUAUUCUAAUCUAAGUCCUAAUCCAAGUCCUUGUAGUAACACAGGUCUAAAUCCUAAACCUAAUAUUUGUUCCUAAUUCUAGCACCCAGUUCUACUUCUAAUUCUGAUCCUACUACUAUCAUGGGAAACUUACUCUAUUCAUCAGCUUCAGCUUUAGAAAAGCAGCUAUUUGGUCUGAAUGGAGCUCCAAACAAACUUGGUUCCAAAAGACAGCAUGACCCACAAAUAAUUACAGGACCAAAGCCGAUAAAAUCAGCACAUGUGAUACUAUGUGUGACUAAAGAUAAAAAAGUCAAAUUUUCUGAAGAUGGAAUUUCUCUCAUUCAUAAUGUUGUAACAUAGCCAUAGUUUCAUUUGGAGGCAGAAGCCAAUAUGGUAACCAACUACCCAUAUGGCAUUGUUUCAUGGAAUGUGAUUCACUCAAGAAUGAAUAUUAAUCUUCAAAAAAUGGAGUUUAGGCCUAUCUUAACUCCAAAAGCUAGCUAUGAGAAUUGCCCAAGCCCAUAAAAGGAGACAACAGUCCUUUCUCUCAACCAAUAUGGAAAAUUCUGACACUGCACCCUCCACCUAUGCCCCAGACCUGAACAUUGUGGAUAACAUAACAUGGGGGCCCAACAUUGAGAAACACAACAAUAAAGAUGAGUUUGGCUCUAAUACCAUGUAAAGAAAAUGGACCUUGGGCCUAAUUCAAUCUCAAAAGCUAGCUCAUGAGAUGAGAAUUGUCCCAAACCAAACAAGGAGAGAACAAUGUACUCCUUCAACGAAUAUCUAACAGAAACAAGAAAAGCACAUCUAUUUAAUGGCUUGUUAAUAUGAAUCCUAAUAGCAAUUACAACGAAAGUGUGAUGCGCCUCAUGUAUUAACAAAUAUUGACUAGAGCCAUUUCAAACCUUAAUUUCAUAUCAUGUAUAUGAAAGGAGAAAGAAAAAUAUAUAUCUUUGUUUCUUUAGGAACAAGCUCUGAGUGAGGUGACAUAACAAAUGUUAAGAUAUUUGAAAGAAAAAAAUUUAGUUGGGUGUUUGAUAUAUAAUCAAGUUAUAGUAUAUCAAAUAUACUCAAAGGGAAAGAGUAGCAUAUUCUCUUUAAAAGAUAUUUGAAAGAGAAGGAAGACCAAAGAACAUGAGGACCCAUACCUCAUGCAUGCUAAAAAGGUCUAAGAACGUAUAUUAAUAAUAUAGAUAAAUGAGAAAGUGAGGAUGAAGAAGCAAAAGUCUAUUUCUAUCCUAUGAGGCGGGGACAAGGGCACAAUUGUUUAAGGAACAAAAUAAAGCUGUAACAGAUAUAGGAAUGUCAUAAUUAUGAGACUGAGGUGGGAUAGUCAUUGUGAAGCGGUGUGCAUGAUUUAAAAAAUGAUGCAAAACAAAAGUAAAAUGCACCCUUGCCUGACACCAAAAGAUUUUUUAGCAUCAAGAGGGGGAUUUUUUCAUUAACUUAUUCUCCACCCCACCACUCCAAUCUUCCAUUAGUGAAAUGCGGUAAUUCAAACCACCCGACCUUUCCAAUCUUCUAUCCUGUGAACCAUCACGUGGAAUGGUACUAUUACCUCAAUCCUUGAAGGUCCAGAUGCAGCAGCUCCUAACUCCCAUCAGGGCUAACCACCUCCUAAUAACACAGAAAUUGUUAGCACUGUCACACCUACUCUGCAACUUCAUAAUACCAUGGUAAAGAAGUUUUCAGCUGUAAACCCCUAGAGACAAAAUUCUCAACCCCGUGGAUUUGGCAAUAAAAUACUUUGAGAUUCAUCAAGUACCUAAUACUAUGAAGAUAAGCUAUAUCCGGAUAGAUAUAAAAGGGGGGAUCCACCGAUAGUUUGACAGUUCUAUGAUAGAUUAUGGUGGGUAAUUUGUACGAAGACAUCAUUUGUGAUGUUUAUAGAAGGUCUGGAAACACUAGAUUUCUGGAUAGAGAUUGACAAAUUCAGUGAGCUCAGUAGGCCAAUGACGUGGAAGCUUAUCUAUAGAAGUUUGAAGAACUGAGGUCUUACAUGCUCAUUAAAAGACCCUUCAUUCAUGUGAAUCCAAUUCCUGUUUCAAUUAGAGACUAAUGCCUAGGAUAUUUAACCUAAUAGUACCUAUAAAAAAGAUAAGGAUAUCUAAUCCAACAAUUCUAACAGAUCGUAAGAAGGAGCAAAGUAGCACGAGGAAUCUAUCAAUGGGAUUAACAAACUUCUACUCCAUAGUCCAAUUACCCUCCAAUAACAAAUCUGAACACCAAGCACCUACACAACGGUUCCUCAGCCAUAUUUCCAUACUAUCGAGUCUUCCACUUACAAACCUUUUCAACUUUCUGUAACCUUACAUACAAUCGACCAAGAGAAUAGAAGUUAGAAGUACUUUAUCGAUGCAAGCAAAAACCCCUCAAUGCCAAUGAAGGAGGGGAUAGCAGAAAAUAUUGGGGAGGUUGAUGCAGAGGCAAUUCAAGAGAGCGUGACACUGAAUGGUGUCCACGGGUGUCAAAUUCCCCCAUGACCAUCCAAAUUGUUCGAACCACUAAGAGGUGGGCAUAAAAGCAGCUCAAAUUCAGGGUUAUUCUUGGCAAUAUGGCCAUGCAAGUUACUACGGGCAAUGAUCACAUUCACAGGACCUUAUGGUCAAAAAUUCAGUAAAUAUGUGUCAAUAAUAGCUUUCUAGAAAACAAUACGCACUUAUACAAGAAGCUGACCCACUUGAAAAUAAUGCAAACUAUACAUCAACUUGGGAGAAGACGUAAAACCUUAGAACGCACACAGCCCUAGAGCCAAACCUAAACAGGCAAUAGGCUGACACAUGACUUAUACCAUCAGCUACAAUCGAACUUGUUGAGAUAUGCAAGGUGAAUCUUUCAUUUUCAAUUUCAGAAUGCAUAAGGUUAACCUCAAGUUAGAAAUGGAUUGAUUGACCUCUAUUCCCCGAUUAUGUUAGACUUGUGACGUAACCAAGUGUCCUUCUGGUGAUGAUAAGGGAGAAUCAACGGGUACUAGGUGGGCUCACAGAAGGAAAUGGCUGCUUAAACUUUUUCAGCAAUGUGUUAUUCAAGUGUUCUCCAUUGCAACAGCCAACAAGUAUAUAAACUCUAUGAACUGACGGAGUAAAAAAGAUUUACACAAUGAAGUCACUUAAAAGGCAACAGCAGGUAGCUCUCUACACAAACAUAAAUUAGUAACCUUAAGAAAAUGGAAAGCAAUCUUCUAUAAGGUGAAAGUACACUGAUAAUGUAAAAUAUGUUUACACUGUAAGGGCAUAUAACUUAAACUCUUGCAACAAAGCUGAACAAAGAGAAUCCCCUAUAAUCUGUUUGAUUUCUAGUUUGUUAGAGUCAGUUAAAACUUAAAAAGAAUUUCUAGCUGGAGCAUGUCAGCUCUCGGCUCCAUAAAUUGAGGUUACAAUCACACGAACUUCCAUUUUAGCUUCUUAUAAUUGUUCCUUAUUUCUUUUACUCGCAAUCAGUAAUCACAAGUUCACAACAAUCACGUAUCCAUAUUGCUUCAUAAAUUCAUCCAUAAACAUUAAACUAAUGAGAUAAAAUAGAAUUUACCAUUUGUUGGUUCGGUUUCUGCUGAUUGAGGAAUUACAACUGAGGAACAACGACAUCAGUUAUCAACACUUUACCCCGUGUAAACACCUUAAAAUUGUAUCAUUUGCUUCUUAGAUUGCUCCAGUUUGGAGAGAGCGGCUGUUAUUGAACAACUUUUUUGGCUUUUUUUCUCGUUUUCUGAACUAAAAUGCGUUUUUCUUCGUUAAUGGCAUGAGGCCCAUUGCCCAAUUGUUGAGCGAUUGAUUCUGUUUUCAUUUUUCCUUCUUUCUUUUUUUUUUAGCCGCCAACCCCAUCGUUUGGUUUUAGGUAUCAAAACUCACUCUAAUGUCUGAACCAUAGAAAUAUGACUCUGAUUUAAC